GGGUAAACGGCAACGACGGAUAAGGGGUUGCACCGGACUGUAAAUCCGGAACGGCGUAAUGGUACUGUGGGAGUUCGAGUCUCUCUUUACCCACCA
rnacentral:tRNA from 1 species